UGGGUAACCUGCCUCAAAGAGGGGAAUAGCCUCCCCGAAAGGGAGAUUAAUACCGCAUAAUAUGUUUAAGUCGCAUGACUUUAACAUCAAAGGUAUUUUUCUUUUAAGAAAUUCCACUUUGAGAUGGACCCGCGGCGCAUUAGCUAGUUGGUGAGGUAACGGCUCACCAAGGCAACGAUGCGUAGCCGACCUGAGAGGGUGAUCGGCCACACGUGGGACUGAGACACGGCCCAGACCUCCCGUAGGGACGG
rnacentral:rRNA from 1 species